AUUGAACGCUGGCGGCAGGCUUAACACAUGCAAGUCGAGCGGAGAGAGGUAGCUUGCUACUGAUCUUAGCGGCGGACGGGUGAGUAAUGCUUAGGAAUCUGCCUAUUAGUGGGGGACAACAUUUCGAAAGGAAUGCUAAUACCGCAUACGUCCUACGGGAGAAAGCAGGGGAUCUUCGGACCUUGCGCUAAUAGAUGAGCCUAAGUCGGAUUAGCUAGUUGGUGGGGUAAAGGCCUACCAAGGCGACGAUCUGUAGCGGGUCUGAGAGGAUGAUCCGCCACACUGGGACUGAGACACGGCCCAGACUCCUCCGGGAGGCAGCAGUGGGGAAUAUUGGACAAUGGGCGCAAGCCUGAUCCAGCCAUGCCGCGUGUGUGAAGAAGGCCUUAUGGUUGUAAAGCACUUUAAGCGAGGAGGAGGCUACUUUAGUUAAUACCUAGAGAUAGUGGACGUUACUCGCAGAAUAAGCACCGGCUAACUCUGUGCCAGCAGCCGCGGUAAUACAGAGGGUGCAAGCGUUAAUCGGAUUUACUGGGCGUAAAGCGCGCGUAGGCGGCUAAUUAAGUCAAAUGUGAAAUCCCCGAGCUUAACUUGGGAAUUGCAUUCGAUACUGGUUAGCUAGAGUGUGGGAGAGGAUGGUAGAAUUCCAGGUGUAGCGGUGAAAUGCGUAGAGAUCUGGAGGAAUACCGAUGGCGAAGGCAGCCAUCUGGCCUAACACUGACGCUGAGGUGCGAAAGCAUGGGGAGCAAACAGGAUUAGAUACCCUGGUAGUCCAUGCCGUAAACGAUGUCUACUAGCCGUUGGGGCCUUUGAGGCUUUAGUGGCGCAGCUAACGCGAUAAGUAGACCGCCUGGGGAGUACGGUCGCAAGACUAAAACUCAAAUGAAUUGACGGGGGCCCGCACAAGCGGUGGAGCAUGUGGUUUAAUUCGAUGCAACGCGAAGAACCUUACCUGGCCUUGACAUAGUAAGAACUUUCCAGAGAUGGAUUGGUGCCUUCGGGAACUUACAUACAGGUGCUGCAUGGCUGUCGUCAGCUCGUGUCGUGAGAUGUUGGGUUAAGUCCCGCAACGAGCGCAACCCUUUUCCUUAUUUGCCAGCGAGUAAUGUCGGGAACUUUAAGGAUACUGCCAGUGACAAACUGGAGGAAGGCGGGGACGACGUCAAGUCAUCAUGGCCCUUACGGCCAGGGCUACACACGUGCUACAAUGGUCGGUACAAAGGGUUGCUACCUAGCGAUAGGAUGCUAAUCUCAAAAAGCCGAUCGUAGUCCGGAUUGGAGUCUGCAACUCGACUCCAUGAAGUCGGAAUCGCUAGUAAUCGCGGAUCAGAAUGCCGCGGUGAAUACGUUCCCGGGCCU
rnacentral:rRNA from 1 species